UCGGGGUACUCGAGUGGCGAACGGGUGAGUAACACGUGGGUGAUCUGCCCUGCACUUUGGGAUAAGCCUGGGAAACUGGGUCUUAUACCGAAUAGGACCACGCGCUUCAUGGUGUGUGGUGGAAAGCUUUUGCGGUGUGGGAUGGGCCCGCGGCCUAUCAGCUUGUUGGUGGGGUAAUGGCCUACCAAGGCGACGACGGGUAGCCGGCCUGAGAGGGUGACCGGCCACACUGGGACUGAGAUACGGCCCAGACUCCUACGGGAGGCAGCAGUGGGGAAUAUUGCACAAUGGGCGCAAGCCUGAUGCAGCGACGCCGCGUGAGGGAUGACGGCCUUCGGGUUGUAAACCUCUUUCAAUAGGGACGAAGCGCAAGUGACGGUACCUAUAGAAGAAGCACCGGCCAACUACGUGCCAGCAGCCGCGGUAAUACGUAGGGUGCGAGCGUUGUCCGGAAUUACUGGGCGUAAAGAGCUCGUAGGUGGUUUGUCGCGUUGUUCGUGAAAACUCACAGCUUAACUGUGGGCGUGCGGGCGAUACGGGCAGACUAGAGUACUGCAGGGGAGACUGGAAUUCCUGGUGUAGCGGUGGAAUGCGCAGAUAUCAGGAGGAACACCGGUGGCGAAGGCGGGUCUCUGGGCAGUAACUGACGCUGAGGAGCGAAAGCGUGGGGAGCGAACAGGAUUAGAUACCCUGGUAGUCCACGCCGUAAACGGUGGGUACUAGGUGUGGGUUCCUUCCUUGGGAUCCGUGCCGUAGCUAACGCAUUAAGUACCCCGCCUGGGGAGUACGGCCGCAAGGCUAAAACUCAAAGGAAUUGACGGGGGCCCGCACAAGCGGCGGAGCAUGUGGAUUAAUUCGAUGCAACGCGAAGAACCUUACCUGGGUUUGACAUGCACAGGACGCCGGCAGAGAUGUCGGUUCCCUUGUGGCCUGUGUGCAGGUGGUGCAUGGCUGUCGUCAGCUCGUGUCGUGAGAUGUUGGGUUAAGUCCCGCAACGAGCGCAACCCUUGUCCUAUGUUGCCAGCGGGUUAUGCCGGGGACUCGUAGGAGACUGCCGGGGUCAACUCGGAGGAAGGUGGGGAUGACGUCAAGUCAUCAUGCCCCUUAUGUCCAGGGCUUCACACAUGCUACAAUGGCCGGUACAAAGGGCUGCGAUGCGUGAGGUGGAGCGAAUCCUUUCAAAGCCGGUCUCAGUUCGGAUCGGGGUCUGCAACUCGACCCCGUGAAGUCGGAGUCGCUAGUAAUCGCAGAUCAGCAACGCUGCGGUGAAUACGUUCCCGGGCCUUGUACACACCGCCCGUCACGUCAUGAAAGUCGGUAACACCCGAAGCC
rnacentral:rRNA from 1 species